CGUAGGGUGCAAGCGUUAAUCGGAAUUACUGGGCGUAAAGCGUGCGCAGGCGGUUUUGUAAGACUGUCGUGAAAUCCCCGGGCUCAACCUGGGAAUGGCGAUGGUGACUGCAAGGCUAGAGUUUGGCAGAGGGGGGUAGAAUUCCACGUGUAGCAGUGAAAUGCGUAGAUAUGUGGAGGAACACCGAUGGCGAAGGCAGCCCCCUGGGUCAAAACUGACGCUCAUGCACGAAAGCGUGGGGAGCAAACAGGAUUAGAUACCCUGGUAGUCCACGCCCUAAACGAUGUCUACUAGUUGUCGGGUCUUAAUUGACUUGGUAACGCAGCUAACGCGUGAAGUAGACCGCCUGGGGAGUACGGUCGCAAGAUUA
rnacentral:rRNA from 1 species